ACAGAGGCCACUGUGUCCUGGUGGAUUUGGAAGGAGUUGAGGUUUCAUCCUGAGAGCAGUGGGGAGCCAUGGGAGGCUUUAUAGCGAGGGGAGGGAAGGUCGGGGCUCUGUAAUAGAGAGGUCCUCUGGCUGCGCAUGUGCUGGAGGGACAGAAGCUGGAACCCUGGAGGCUGGAGAGGUCUCACUGCCGUCAUCAGGGGGACACCAGGUGGCGGGGAUAGGAGGGAAAAGGACAUCUUCACCAGCCUUCGGGAGUAGGCACUGCUCAGGAGUGUGAAGGGGGCGCUGUGCUCAUCUGUGGAUCGAUCAGUGGAUGCGGUCAGAGCCCGGUGUAGUGUCAGGAGGUAGGGACUGUUCAGAAGGGGCAGUCACUGGGGCCGUGACCCGGAAGUGUUUCCCUCCCUCCCGGCUCCUCCCUUCUCUCUCUGCUUCUUGGCCACCAAGCUGUGAGCAGCUCUCCGCCUCCAGGCCCUUCCACCGCACCCUUCCUGCCUUUGAGCCAACUGAUCAUGGACUGGAACCUGUAGAAAUCGUGAGUCCACGUAAACCUGUCCUCCUUUAAGUUGUGGGUGUCGGAUAUUCAGUCCCAGUGACGAGAAGUGGCCAAUCCUGUGGUCCAUACACAUUGGUGUGUCGGGCUGGGGAUAGAGGCGUGAGCGAUGUGCCACAGGGGUGUGCACACGCACUGAGUGUGUCUGUCUGUGUGCCCGAGGCUGAUUGAGCACGCAUGCUCAUGCGUGCACACACGUGUCUGUGCACGAGUCCUGUGUGUGCUCACCUGGGUGUAUCAGGCGGAGUUGUAUCUGAGGCCAUGGAUGUGGUGAUCCUUAAUUGUGAUGUGUGAACUCGAUGUGAGUAGAAACCACCUGGCAGAUUAGCAAAGCUCUGGGUGUGUCUGUGAGUGGUUGAUGAGGACGGAAGACACACCCAGGAUCUGGGCGGCACCAACCAAUAGGCUUGUAGCCUGCAUGGACUAAAAAGGGAAAGGAGGAGCAGUUCUGGUCUUCACCGCUGUCUGUGGACGUCGGUCUCCCGUUCCUUCGGGCUUCCAGCAUGGAUGCUUCAGCUUUCCGACACACUCUCACCGUGACUCUGCAGUGAUCCUCCAGACCUUCAGGCUCCGUCCGACGCUGGAUCCUGCGCACACGGGUGACCAUUUCGGCAUCCUCCUCCUCGCAUGGCCGCUGGGACUCUUCCGGUUUGAUCCCGACAGCCUGCCUCACAAAUCCCGUCUCUAAGCACGCACGUUUUCUGUCGAAUCUGUUCCUCUGGAGAACCCUAACUCAUACAGAUGUUCGUGUAUGUGUGCGUAUUUGCUCAGGUGGGUCUAAGUAUAUUCUGUCAUGUGUGCCCACUUGCAUGUAAACAUGUAUUUUAAUAUGUCUUUCACGUGCAUGUUUCAUAUGAACACACGUGUGUCCCCAGUGUCCCUCUGUGUGUACCCACGUGGGUUAUUCUGCGGGCAUCAACGUGAGGCGCCCACAUGCUGAGCUGGGCACCAGGGCUCUCUGGACCCCCACUCCUCAGAGCAGCUUGACCAACCUGGCCUCCCGCUCUCUGCUCCUGGCUUAGACUCUGAGCCUCUCCGCUCCCUCAUCACCCCAAGCCAAAUGCACCUUCAGGGAAGCAAGUUGCAGAGCAGAAGUCCCUCCCUGACCCUUCCCACCCUCCUGCAGCCCCUAGCCAGGGAUUCAGAGCUGGAGAACAGGAAUGGUCUUUUUAGAGAGGGCCCCCGGCUCCCAGGUGUGCAGGAGCUGGGACCACAAUAACCCGACAGACUCCACCGGCCAGAAUGAGCUCCAAGAAGUCACCAGCAAGGUUCAGACAGAGGCCCAGCAAUAGCACGACAGUCCUCCCUUAUCUGCCACUUCACUUCCUGUGGUUGGAGUCGCCUGUGGUCAGCCAAGGUCUGAGAAUGUCUGAUAGGUAAUUCCAGAAAUAAAUAACGUACAAGUUUUUAACGUUCA